GGACUGUAGUCUGNAACCCGACUACACGAAGCUGGAAUCGCUAGUAAUCGCAGAUCAGAAUGCUGCGGUGAAUACGUUCCCGGGUCUUGUACACACCGCCCGUCACACCAUGGGAGUCGGUAAUGCCCGAAGCCAGUGACCCAACCAUAUGGAGGGAGCUGUCGAAGGCGGGGCCGGUGACUGGGGUGAAGUCGUAACAAGGUAAC
rnacentral:rRNA from 1 species